rnacentral:rRNA from 1 species
GACGAACGCUGGCGGCGUGCUUAACACAUGCAAGUCGAACGGAAAGGCCCUGCUUUUGUGGGGUGCUCGAGUGGCGAACGGGUGAGUAACACGUGAGUAACCUGCCCUUGACUUUGGGAUAACUUCAGGAAACUGGGGCUAAUACCGGAUCGGAGCUCCUGCUGCAUGGUGGGGGUUGGAAAGUUUCGGCGGUUGGGGAUGGACUCGCGGCUUAUCCGCUUGUUGGUGGGGUAGUGGCUUACCAAGGCUGUGCCGGGUAGCCGGCCUGAGAGGGUGGCCGGCCACAUUGGGACUGAGAUACGGCCCAGACGCCAACGGGAGGCAGCAGUGGGGAAUAUGGCACAAUGGGCGGAAGCCUGAGGCAGCGACGCCGCGUGCGGGAUGACGGCCUUCGGGUUGUAAACCGCUUUCGCCUGUGACGAAGCGUGAGUGACGGUAAUGGGUAAAGAAGCACCGGCUAACUACGUG